GCACACAAAUCCACCCCAAUCCACAUGGUUUGGGAGGGAUUGAGGUGGGACUUAAACUAAAUUCCACCUCAAUCCCUCCUAAACCAGGUGGAUUGGGGUGGAUUUGUGU
rfam:Sorghum bicolor cultivar BTx623 chromosome 2, whole genome shotgun sequence.